rnacentral:snRNA from 2 species
AUACCUUUCUCGGCCUUUUGGCUAAGAUCAAGUGUAGUAUCUGUUCUUAUCAGUUUAAUAUCUGAUAUGUGAGUCAUCGACUCACACGAUAUUAACUCUAUUUUUUAAGGGGGAGGAACUAUCAAGGUAGCUUGCUACCUGGGUCUUCGCGCGUCGCCCAUGUGUUGCACUACUGCACGGGCCUGACGCACCCCAC